rnacentral:rRNA from 1 species
AUCGAACGCUGGCGGCAGGCCUAACACAUGCAAGUCGAGCGGAACGGGGGGCGGGCGAGUAAUGACUAGGUAUCUACCUGGCCGUGGGGGAGAAGGUCCGGAUAGGGGCGCUAAUCCCACAUACUAUCAGAUGAGCCUAGGUGGGAUGAGCUAGUUGGUGGGGUAAAGGCCUACAAAGGCGACGAUCCGAAACUGGUCUGCGAGGAUGAUCAGUCACACUGGAACUGAGACACGGUCCAGACUCCUACGGGAGGCAGCAUUGGGGAAUAUUGGACAAUGGGCGAAAGCCUGAUCCAGCCAUGCCGCGUGUGUGAAGAAGGUCUUCGGAUUGUAAAGUACUUUAAGUUGGGAGGCGUUACCAACAGAAUAAGCACCGGCUAACUUCGUGCCAGCCGCCGCGGUAAUAC